CAGGGAUUGCCUCAGUAACGGCGAGUGAAGCGGCAACAGCUCAAAUUUGAAAUCUGACCCCUGCGGGGCCCGAGUUGUAAUUUGUAGAGGGUGUUUCGGGCGCGGCGCCGGUCUAAGUUCCUUGGAACAGGACGUCGCAGAGGGUGAGAAUCCCGUAUGUGACCGGUGAUCAAGCCCAUGUGAAGCCCCUUUCGACGAGUCGAGUUGUUUGGGAAUGCAGCUCAAAAUGGGUGGUAAAUUCCAUCUAAAGCUAAAUAUUGGCCGGAGACCGAUAGCGGACAAGUAGAGUGAUCGAAAGAUGAAAAGCACUUUGGAAAGAGAGUUAAACAGUACGUGAAAUUGUUGAAAGGGAAGCGCUUGCAAUCAGACCGGUCCGGGGGUGAUCAGCCGCUGCUCGUCAGCUGGUGCACUCGCCCCCGAUCCGGCCAGCAUCGGUUUGGGCGGUGGGAUAAAAGCCCCGGGAAUGUAGCUUCUUUCGGGGAGUCUUAUAGCCCGGGGUGCAAUGCUGCCCGCCUGGACCGAGGACCGCGCUUCGGCUAGGAUGCUGGCGUAAUGGUUGCAAGCGACCCGUCUUGAA
rnacentral:rRNA from 1 species